rnacentral:rRNA from 1 species
AGCGAACGCUGGCGGCAGGCCUAACACAUGCAAGUCGAGCGCCCGUAGCAAUACGGGAGCGGCAGACGGGAUAGUAACACGUGGGAACGUACCCUUCAGUUCGGAACAACCCAGGGAAACUUGGGCUAAUACCGAAUACGUCCGUAAGGAGAAAGAUUUAUCGCUGAAGGAUCGGCCCGCGUCUGAUUAGCUAGUUGGUGAGGUAAUGGCUCACCAAGGCGACGAUCAGUAGCNGGUCUGAGAGGAUGAUCAGCAUCACUGGGACUGAGACACGGCCCAGACUCCUACGGGAGGCAGCAGUGGGGAAUAUUGGACAAUGGGCGCAAGCCUGAUCCAGCCAUGCCGCGUGGAUGAUGAAGGCCCUAGGGUUGUAAACCUCUGUCACCGGGGAAGAAACGCUUCAAGUUAAUAGCUUGAAGCCUGACUUAACCCGGAGAGGAAGCAGUGGCUAACUCUGUGCCAGCCGCCGCUGUAAG